GACGAACGCUGGCGGCGUGCUUAACACAUGCAAGUCGAACGGAAAGGCCCCUUUGGGGGUACUCGAGUGGCGAACGGGUGAGUAACACGUGAGUAACCUGCCCUUGCCUUCGGGAUAACUUCAGGAAACUGGGGCUAAUACCGGAUAGGAAUCCUUGCUGCAUGGUGGGGGUUGGAAAGCUUCGGCGGCUUUGGAUGGACUCGCGGCUUAUCAGCUUGUUGGUGGGGUAGUGGCUUACCAAGGCUUUGACGGGUAGCCGGCCUGAGAGGGUGACCGGCCACAUUGGGACUGAGGUACGGCCCAGACUCCUACGGGAGGAAGCAGUGGGGAAUAUUGCACAAUGGGCGGAAGCCUGAUGCAGCAACGCCGCGUGCGGGAUGACGGCCUUCGGGUUGUAAACCGCUUUCAGCAGGGGCGAAGCUUGUGGUGACGGUACCUGCAGAAGAAGCACCGGCUAACUACGUG
rnacentral:rRNA from 1 species